UGGAGAAACCCAGACCCAGCCUGCAAGAGUCUCAGUCAAGAGAUAAGCGAGUGAUAGACAAGACUGAGAAGGGCAGGUGCCCGUGCGAGGCCCAGAUGUCCCCGGGAGAGAUCCAGCGUGCGAGAAAGAGGGUACCGAGAGGGGCGCGAAAUCUGGACCGGUUGCAAGGUGAACAAGAUGCCCUAGAAGGAGUCCCUCUUGCACUUACUCCAAUGAGGUGUUUAUCACCGCCAGUCCACCGAGACCAUUAUCAAGAUCACCAAUGACCUGGGGCACCGCUGGUAGGCAGAACCCUGGAAAGAAAAGAUAACAUCUUGUGUGUGUGCACGCUGCAGCCGUCAGCCGCUAGCAGAGACGUGGCAAUGGCACCGCCUUCUGGCACUGGAGGCUUAAACAUCACUCAAGAGGCACCGGAAGGCGGCAGCCCCCUCCUCCCUCCCUGGUUAACAUUUCUAAAAUAUCUGUGAGGUCCAACUGCGCAGGAAGGCAACGCCCCCCUGACUCAGAAGAAGAGGCUGUGGUCCAACCCGCGACAGGCACCUGGCCUGGCGCGGCCGCGACUACCCCACCCCCACCCCCACCAAGCGCCAGCACCUCUGGGCGGCGGGCGCCACCUGGAGGCCACCUCAAGAUCUGCGGGGAUGCCGCAGGCCCUUGGGAAGGUGGCAGAAUCCUUUCAUUCUCUUUUAUCCUUUAUUAAGCCACUGCUGUGUCUUGGGCUCCGGUGACACGGGUGGAAAUAAAGCUUACGUCCGGUCUCCCAUGACAUUUAUGGCUUGAUGGAGAAGACAGACCCUUGAAAAAUAAUUCAAUGUGUAACGCUAGGGCUGGGAAAGAGAUGGAUACAAAGGAGGGAAUAACCAGAGCGCCUGGGCA